UGGUAACUAUAAUCCUGAAUCUGGCAUUUAUUGAAGCAUUUAUUCUUCCUUUCCUUAUUCCUAUUUACACUUUUGUUUAACAAAGACUAAUAAUUAUAAAAACUAAUACAGAUGUAUCUUGCAAGUGAGCAAGCACUUAUCUGUACUUGAGAGUGUGUACGUGCAUUUAAAUGUUGAGUUGUUCCAGAAUUGAAUUCAACUUAUCUUCCCAUAAGAACUGCUCCAAUAUUGCUUAUCUCAGAUACCAGUGGCAUCCACCCAAGCGACCGAACAGGAAACUUGGAAUUACCUUCUGUUCUAUCCUUCCCUCAUCUAACACGCCCUGCUAAGUCAAACUCAUUCUCUAAGUCACUCCCUAUUCUCUAUCUCCAUGACAAUGGCCCAGAUUAACGGCCUAAACCCAUCUUGCUAGACCAUUACAGUAAGCCUCCCACAACUGUAACAUCAUUCUCACCCCUCCCCAGGCUGAUUAUGUCAUGAAAUUAGUUCAUGGCUCUCCGGGCCUACAGGCUGAAGUCUAAAGUACGACACGUAGGUCUUUGUGAUUAUUUUCUGGACUGUAGACUGUUUACCCCUUCGGAUCCACUCUCCUCUGCCCUGCUCUGUGUCCAGGGAAGCUGUACCCUGCUGGCUGCUGGUUUUGGCCAGUGGCAGUCAUGGGCAGGAGACUGGAAGCUGGGAGGGAGAAGAAAUGGAGGCCUUUAUCCCUGGCUCCCUCUUUGACAGGGGGUGGUGGCUACAACCUUUCACCCAGGCCUCAGUGCCACAGGCCAGCUACAGCUAGAGUUCUGAUAAGGGUCCCUUCCUCCUGCUGCUCCAGGCCCAGAGGUAGUGAUGGCUUCCCCACUGAGGCUAGCCCUGGGGGGACAGUGGCUUCAGUAUCCCUUGUUGGUCUCCCUUAAAAGCAAGUAAAUCAAGGAAGCAAUUUGCUCUAGACAUACCAACCACAUGUAAAUCAGUUCUUAAACACGCCAUGGUCUCUCUGGACUUUGUCCAUGACAUUCCUUCUAAAUGGUAAAGCCCUUUCUCUCUUAGUCCACCUGGAAUUUAGAAAGUCCCCUAGACUCCAUUCAAGCGGCACUUGUGUGAAGUCCUUCCUGACCACACCACACCGCGUGAGAAGUGCUCUCAUAUGGCUCUGAGUUUAUCGCUGUGCUGCAGCAUACUAAAUACAGUUGCCGCUUUUACACUGAUUACAGUGGUUUUCCUCUCUAACUGCUGAGUUCCUUGAAGGCGGGCCUGUUUUUAGGCAGUGUUCAGCCCUAGCACGCAGGGCCCCUGGCAUUUGACAGGUUCUUGUUAGCUGCUUGCUGGAUGAAAGGAAGGUGGAAAGGACAACACCUUUGAGGCAAACACAGCCAGACAGUUUCUAGGUGAGGAAGUGAAGGCCCAGAACGUUUACACGAGGAGGGCACUCGCCGGGAGAGGGGCUGCAGAAAGUUCCUGGAUGCUGAGUCACAUUCCUAAAUGCUUACCGCCUAGACUUCUUUCAGUCCUUUAAAAAUCUAUUUGACAAGAGACAUCUUUCCUUUUAAUGCAGUACAUUCGGAGAAAUAAUUGGGAAAUCCCUGACAGCACUGAAAGAGAGAGCUGUAGCUAGAAGGAGCCAGAAAGUAAAGGAACCACCUGAUGGCUGGAGUGCUCAUCACCUCGGCAUAUAUAUGAAAAAUAGCUACGCUUAUCACCUGACCUCCCUUGUCUAUGUCUUUUGGUUGGAGCAUCUAAUCCAUUUACAUUUAAGUGUCCUUGCUGCCUCCACUGAGCCACAAGUGACCCCUGCCACCCAGGAGACCCUCUAAGAUUCAUAGGUAGGUCCAGCCCAGGCUCCUAUGGAGUUACUGCUUUGUUUUGUGUCCCAGUGUAUGUGAAACCUUAUGUGUACCCUCCAAGUGUGGAGUCUCUGUUUCCCCCAGUCUUGUGGAGGUCCUGCACAUGAGCCCUGCUGGCCUUCAAAGCCAAAUGCUCUGGGGGUUCCUCCUCCUGAUGCCAGACCCUCAGGCUGGGGAGCCUGACAUGGGGCUCAGGACUCUCACUCUUAUGGGAGAACCUCUGCGAUAUAAUUAUUUUCCAGUUUGUGGGUCCCCCACCCAGUGGGUAUAGGAUUUGAUUAUGUCGCGAAAGCGCCCCUCCUACCAUCUUGUUGUGGCUUCUUCUUUGUCUUUGAACGUAAAAUAUCUUUUUUUGUAGGUGCCAGUCUUCUUCGUCGAUGGCUGUUCAGCUGUUAGUUGUGAUUUUGGUGUUUUCGUGAAAGAAGCGAACACCCCUGGACCCUGAAGAGGGCUCUCUCUGCAAGGUUAGCUGUGGCAGUGCGCCGGGGAGGGGAGCCACGCCUGAAGUACGACCCACAACAGGGGUCCUGGCUCACCCUCAAGCUGCACGUGUGUGGGACAGACCCAAAGCAGCACGGCAAAGGCUUUGAGAACUGAACUGUGACAGAACAACUCACCCAAG